rnacentral:rRNA from 1 species
UACGAAGGGUGCAAGCGUUACUCGGAAUUACUGGGCGUAAAGCGUGCGUAGGUGGUUUCUUAAGUCUGCUGUGAAAGCCCCGGGCUCAACCUGGGAAUUGCAGUGGAUACUGGGGAGCUAGAGUGCGGUAGAGGGUAGUGGAAUUCCCGGUGUAGCGGUGAAAUGCGUAGAGAUCGGGAGGAACACCAGUGGCGAAGGCGGCUACCUGGACCAUUACUGACGCUGAGGCGCGAAAGCGUGGGGAGCAAACAGG